ACACAUGGAGACAAUCCACAAUCUUUAUAAAGCAGGACGUAGAUGGUCACUACGUUAACUGUGAGGAAGGAAAACAAACCCAUUAUCCAUCAGCCUGGAGGCAAAGGGACCCGUUUGAUCGGGGACCCAGAGAGAUUUUCAAAUGUGUCCCUGUAUUCAGGGAUUUAUUAAAAUAAUUGGAGCUGGAAUAACAAAUGGGAAGGUCGGAAUUACUGACAAAAAUAUGACAUAAACCACAAGAAACCCUCCCUCCCCAAACACACCGAGACACAUCCAUAAGGACAGAUGGUUUCUAGAACAUUCCCACACACUCGAUCGCUCGACAGCAGACACAGGUCACUCCUUCCCAGUUCCUAAUACGGAGGGUGGGAACAUUGCUGUCCUGAAGGAUUCUUUCCCGGUUUCCUGAAGACAAACGGAGUUUAGGAAUUUCUGUAUUUUGGACUAAAUUGUGGUCGAUCCUGUGUCGUGAAGAAAUGUAAACGCAGGGAAAACGUAUUCACCCCUUUAACUACCUGAGGGGCCUUCGGAACAGUGUCUCCUUCUCCCUGGAUCGCGAUCUCUUCCCUCGGGAUCUUAUCGUUUGUUCAAUUCACUGACGUCCGGACAUUCACAAACAAACAACGUCAGGGACAGAACGUUCCGGGGAAUGUCAGUUAUAGAAUGUCAGGGACAGAACGUUCCGGGGAAUGUCACUUAUAGAAUGUCGGGGACAGAACGUUCCGGGGAAUGUCAGUUAUAGAAUGUCAGGGACAGAACGUUCCGGGGAAUGUCACUUAUAGAAUGUCGGGGACAGAACGUUCCGGGGAAUGUCAGUUAUAGAAUGUCAGGGACAGAACGUUCCGGGGAAUGUCGGUUAUGGAAUGUCGGGGACAGAACGUUCCGGGGAAUGUCAGUUAUAGAAUGUCAGGGACAGAACGUUCCGGGGAAUGUCGGUUAUGGAAUGUCGGGGACAGAACGUUCCGGGGAAUGUCAGUUAUAGAAUGUCAGGGACAGAACGUUCCAGGAAAUGUCAGUUAUAGAAUGUCAGGGACAGAACGUUCCGGGGAAUGUCAGUUAUAGAAUGUCAGGGACAGAACGUUCCGGGGAAUGUCAGUUAUAGAAUGUCAGGGACAGAACGUUCCAGGAAAUGUCAGUUAUAGAAUGUAGGGGACAGAACGUUCCGGGGAAUUUCAGUUACAGAAUGUCGGGGACAGAAUGUUCCGUGGAGCUCCGUGACCUGUCCAUCACCUUUCCCCCCAUCCACCCCACCACCAUGAUGUACUGUGCACAGCCUACAGAUCUGUCCAGUUCCGGAGCUGUGCAGACCACAGCAGGGCCCUAAUGUGGGAACCUGGAACAAAUAUGCAUCCAGCACGGGGAGCUGUACAUCCCACAUCAUUGUAUUAUCUAUAAACCUCAACCAGACAGUCUGACCAGCACAGCGACCUGUGCAGUGAUCACCCGUGAAUUCAUCUGAAACCCAGGAGCAGUUACCCUCCCAGCAUGUAGGACUGUGUACCCCACCCCAGUACAUUGAUCUGUAACCCAGGAGCAGUUACCCUCCCAGCAUGUAGGGCUGUGUACCCCACCCCAGUGCAUUGAUCUGUAACCCAGGAGCAGUUACCUUCCCAGCAUGUAGGACUGUGUUCACCACCCCUGUGCAUUGCUCUUUAACACUGUGUUAGAUCGCUGCCCAGUGUGGGGAAACUUGCAGCCCAUGCUGGAUGUGACAGGACGUACAGCUCCCACCCAUUUACAUCUCCAUAUCGAUAUUGUGCCAUGUCAAGGGGGUGCUGUGGGUGUGAACAUCACGGUCAGAGAGAGAUGGCGGGGGAAUCAGUUUGAGUAUCACCACAUGGAAUGGGUUUAAUGUAUAGACAGAGAGGGGGAGACUGAGAGACAGUGUCAUGGAAGGAUGUGUUCCCAGGUUUCAGAAUGCUGAUACAUGGACACUCUGAUAUCAUCCUGUAACAUGAGCCUGUCUUCCCAGGAAAAAUGGGAAAAAGGGAUAUUGGUGUGAGGUGAAAUGAUGGAUGAACAUUUGUUCUACAGCUUUGUAAAUGGGAGUAGUUACAUCAGAAUCUAUGACUGACUGAGCUGAUUCUAACAAUAAUUUGCCUCAGUGUCAUUUUCAUUGAGUGUGACAGAGAGAUUAUCUGUACGAGGCCAAGUUAGAUUCCUGGUGCUAUCUUAUCAAACUCAACUCGUUGACUAUCCACACACACCCCCCACCCCCACCAUAGUGUCCCUCUCAUUCAAUACCAGCCCGAUUCUCCCACCCGUCAUGGCUGGAGGGACUCACAGUUGCCCGGGUUCCCCUGGAUAUUCUGUGAUCCCUGGCACUGGUGCCAUCCUUGAAAGGCCAAUGGGCACACGGUUGAGCUUUCUCAGCUUAGAGCUGCCCUGUACAGUUUACCCCGGGCAUGGCAGAUAACGGGCAAUUACACCACGGUUUGUCGACAGGGGCACGGAGCUCCUGGUGGAUGGGCUAGUACAGAGGGGGACCAUUCUCUUCCAGGAGGGAGCCACACCACCAGACCCACUGAACAUGGUCUGUGCUCACCACCCAGCUCAGUGCAGUAUCACCAGUCUGAAGAAAUGCCCAGCAAUACAGGACAAGCAUCAAUAACCUUCCCCGCUCUGUCAGGAUAAGGGUCACUGUAUUCUCUCUGCUCCUUCACACUCACUGUGUAUCUGUUAUAGCACCGACCCCCGAACAAAUCUCUGGCUCAUAUACACGCAGCGCGCUCUGUUCCUGCAGCCCCUUUAUAAUGUCACAGCCUGUUUUAAACUGUCUUUCUUUAUCUUUCAUACCAAAGUGCAUCACCUCACACACCCGCCUACCAGCGUGUCACUGUCCUGUUAGAGUUCCACACUGUCCCCCAUAGCCUUUACAAUUCUUGCAGGUUUGGUCCCAUUUACAAACAUUAAGAUUGUCAUAGUGUCACAGUGCCCAUGAAACAACUGAAAUCCUGCCCCACACACAGGAGUGUGAGCAAGUGAAAUACUGAUAUAUUCCCAUGGACAGAGUCAAAUAACGACAUACUGUCAAUGGAGCAACAAAAAUCCUGACAUAUACGAGACAGAGUAGAUGAAAUAUUGACAAACCACAGAGCAAGAGAAAUCCGGAUAGGUUACACUUAUCGAUAUUCAUCAGAGUGUAAUGGGAUGAAGGUGAAAGUGUGUACUGUACCUUUAAACGAGGGUGAAUGCUGCUCUGAACUGGGAGCUUACAAGUACCUGUGAUAUGAGAGGAUGGCAGAACCAGAAACAGUAUAUCGCUAUAGAGCUGGAGUCUGGUUAUAAGCAGUUAAGAGAUAGAGGGUCUUUCAGUUCACUUUCAGUGUUAGAAAAUACAUUAUUUUCAUUUAAACAGUGGAAUUUGGGAGUUCUCUGUCACUCAUAUUUUAACAGUUUACGAGGCGAACUGAGCAUUUAUUUAUGUUUAGUUUAAAUUACCAGAUGAGAUCUAUGCCGUGUCCGAACAAUUGCUGAAUGUGUAUCUGUGUGUCUCUGUGUGGGGCAGGUCUGGCUGUCUCUGUGGUGCUGAAAGUGAUGCAAUGCCACCCUCUGCUGAUCUCCCCACACCACUGCACAGGCAUUGGCAGAGGGUGAAAACCAACAGAGAUACAUUCAGAGAGGGGGAGGGAGAGGGCAGCUGCUCACAGCAUCAUCAUGAUGUCUUAUCCAUGUGCUUAUCUAAAUGUCCUUUAAACGUUGUAACUGUCCCUGUUUUCACCACUUGCUCUGCAAGUUCAUUCCACACACAAGUCAGCUCCUGACUAAAAUAAUUACCUCUUCUGAAGUUUGUAAAUCUUUUUUCCUCGCACCUUAAAAUAUCCCUCAGUUUUGAAUCCCCAAUUCCAGGGAAAAGACAUCAGCCCUUCAGCUUAUCUGUACUCCUCAUCAUUUUAUAAACCUCUGCCAAGUUACCCGUCCAUACUCUCCAGUGAAAAAUGUCCCAGCCUAUUCAGCCUCUCCUUAUAGCUCAAUCCCUCCAUUUCCAGCAACUUCCAGGUUAAACUCUUCAGAAACCUCUCCAGCUUAAUAAUAUCAAGGUCAAUAAUAUCAAAGUGAAUAGUCAAGGUAUUUUAUAAGGGUAGUGGAGACCAAACCUAGAGGACAUAGGCUUAAGUUGAGAGGGGAAACAUUUAAAAGUGACCUAAUGGGCUGUUUUUUCACCCAGAGGCUGGUGUGCCUAUGGAAUGAGUGGGCGGGAUGUCCAGACUGGACACAGUAUUCCAGAAGAGGUCUCACCAAUGUCCUGUACAACCUCAACAUGACGUCCCAAAUCCAAUACUCAAAGGGAUCUGUGUUAGCUGUCUGGAUACAGAAUUGGCUGGCCAACAGAAGACAGCGGGUGGUAGUGGAAGGAAAAUAUUCUGCCUGGAAGUCUGUGGGACAUAUAAACGUAUCUUCAAAUCGACCAAGACCAUGUUCUGCUCAGGGUAUGGUUCUGUGUAUGACAGCAGCAAUGAUGCACCAACAUGGAACAGGGAAUGUGAUGGAGACAUAGUUUGGACAAUGCACAACGAGACCUCACAUGGUCCAGUUUGGGAGAGAAUGACAUUAUUGUGUGAUCAACUCAGAGAGGGAGAAAAUGUCAUCUGCCCGAGAAGAAACGGCCUAUUGCACUCUCUCUCCUUCAUUAUUCCUCAUCACAGUAAUGUGUACGAGCUAAAAUAAAACUCUACUGUCAUCGUUA